rnacentral:lncRNA from 1 species
AGUAUUUUCAGAAGCAUAGACCUCCAGGGACUCUUAUUUACAUGUAGACAUACAUAAAAAUAAAUGCUGUUUUUUAAAGAUCUAUGACUACUUAACAAAACAAUAAAAAGGAAGCCCUGGAUGUGUGUGAGGUGAAUCUGCAAUGUGUGUGAGACGCGUAGAAUCCCCACAUAGUUUAGCAAAGGCAGAGCACGAUGUCAAGUAAUUUUAAUAUGGCCUAAGGAACUGUAAGAAGCGAACUGAAGAAGGAACUGAUUUUAGAUUAAAAAUGUCAUUUAGAAACAAAACAACAGAUGCCUAACAGACCUCCUGUGCUUAAGUUAUAACAGGAUAAAAAUCUGAAUGAGUGGAAGGACUUCUGUGCAUGGAUUCUGCAAAUUCCUUCUACAGUUUAAGCCCCUUAUUUAACAGAGGUCUAAUACUGAAUGCUUCACCCUUUGGGAAACCUCGUUGGUGAUCUCUUCUGAGGGCUGCAGAGACCAGGGAGCCGGUGCUGAGUUGUGCAGUGAAUGAAGACACGGGCAGCUGGUUAUGAAUGCUUGUGUAAUUCAGGGGAUAACUUGGAGCCAUGAAAAGCACAAAAAAUGGUUUGGCUGUCCCAACGGCUGGUGGCAGUAGGGCUGAGGUCCCACAGCCUGAGGCCCAGGAGCAUUUGGGAGGGUGGAGGUGACCUGCCCUAUUUGCGUUGUUUUCACGGUUUUGGAACUGUUACCCGCAUUUUAGCAGCUUCUAACUCUGUGUUGUGGAUUUGGAGAGGUUAACAACCCACCUUCGACCCCUGGCGACUGUUUCCCUUCCCUGUCGGCUCAGCUGUGAAGGGAGAGCAUCUGGGAACACGCGGUGUGAACCUGGCGCCGCUCGGCUUGGCUUGUUUAGCAAAGUGUCCUCUGUUUACACUGUAAAAUGUCAGCAUUUGUCAAAAAAUGUCGCCCGCUCUGAAGAACACGCCCCCGAGGCUCCGGUCAGUUUGGGGCCUUGCUUCCCGCCUGCAGCUGCAGCCGGACCCCUGGCUCACGGGGGCGUGAGUUUCCUCUGUGACUUAUUGAGUCUCUCGUUUGCACUGUCAGAGGCUGGGCGACUCGGGGCUUUGCUGUUGAUCCCCUUUAGCAAACCCAGCCGUUGAGG